GAUGUCCGAAUGGGGAAACCCGGCUGGGGUCAUGCCCAGUCGCCCGUGCCUGAACACAUAGGGCACGUGGUGGGAACGUGGGGAAGUGAAACAUCUCAGUACCCACAGGAAGAGAAAACAAUUGUGAUUCCGUUAGUAGUGGCGAGCGAACGCGGAAGAGGCCAAACCACAGUGGCGUGAUAGACGCCAGUUGUUGCCGCUGUGGGGUUGUGGGAUCACCAAGUCGAUUCUGGCGGAUCGACAAAGAGUCAGAAAUGUUCUGCGUAGUCGAAGGUCAUGCGAAAGGGCCGGCACAGAAGGUAAUACCCCUGUAGACGAAACGUAGGGCACUCUUUGGUGAUAUCCCAAGUAGCACGGGGCCCGAGAAAUCCCGUGUGAAUCUGGCGGGACCACCCGCUAAGCCUAAAUACUUCCUGAUGACCGAUAGCGGACAAGUACCGUGAGGGAAAGGUGAAAAGUACCCCGGGAGGGGAGUGAAAUAGUGCCUGAAACCGUGUGCCUACAAGCCGUUGGAGCCUGGAAGAUCUUCGGAUCAGGGUGACAGCGUGCCUUUUGAAGAAUGAGCCUGCGAGUUAGUGAUAUGUGGCGAGGUUAACCCGUGAGGGGCAGCCGUAGCGAAAGCGAGUUCGAAUAGAGCGAAUGAGUCGCAUGUCCUAGACCCGAAGCGGAGUGAUCUACCCAUGGCCAGGUUGAAGCGAAGGUAAGACUUCGUGGAGGACCGAACCCACCAAUGUUGAAAAAUUGGGGGAUGAGCUGUGGGUAGGGGUGAAAGGCCAAUCAAACUCCGUGAUAGCUGGUUCUCCCCGAAAUGCAUUUAGGUGCAGCGUCACGCGUUUCUUAUCGGAGGUAGAGCACUGGAUGGGCUAGGGGGCCUACAAGCUUACUGAACUCAACCAAACUCCGAAUGCCGAUAAGUGAGAGCGUGGCAGUGAGACUGUGGGGGAUAAGCUUCAUAGUCGAGAGGGAAACAGCCCAGACCACCAACUAAGGCCCCUAAGCGUGUGCUAAGUGGGAAAGGAUGUGGAGUUGCAUAGACAACCAGGAGGUUGGCUUAGAAGCAGCCAUCCUUGAAAGAGUGCGUAAUAGCCCACUGGUCAAGUGAUUCCGCGCCGACAAUGUAACGGGGCUCAAGCACAUCGCCGAAGUUGUGGCAUUCACACCGAUAACCCGGCCGUAAGGUCCAGGUGUGUGGAUGGGUAGGGGAGCGUCGUGUGGCGAGCGAAGCGGCGGGGAGACCCAGCCGUGGACGCCACACGAGUGAGAAUGCAGGCAUGAGUAGCGAAAGACGGGUGAGAAACCCGUCCGCCGGAUGACCAAGGGUUCCAGGGCCAGGCUAAUCCGCCCUGGGUAAGUCGGGACCUAAGACGAGGCCGACAGGCGUAGUCGAUG
rnacentral:rRNA from 1 species